rnacentral:rRNA from 1 species
GACGAACCGUGCGACCGUUGUUCGGAAUCACUGGGCUUAAAGGGCGCGUAGGCGGCUCACCAAGUCGGGGGUGAAAUCCGGCAGCUUAACUGUCGCAGUGCCUUCGAAACGGGUGGGCUGGAGGGAGGUAGGGGUCGUGGGAACUUCCGGUGGAGCGGUGAAAUGCGUAGAUAUCGGGAAGAACACCAAAGGCGAAAGCACUCUGCUGGGCCGAAACUGACACUGAUAGACGAAAGCUAGGGGAGCAAAUGGG